AUACUCUGGUUUCUCUUCAGAUCGUAUAAAUCUUUCGCCUUUUACUAAAGAUUUCCGUGGAGAGGAACAAUUCUGAGUCUUAAACCAAAUUUUUUGAGGCCUUGCUCUGGCGAGGCU
rnacentral:snRNA from 1 species